AAUUUUGGACAAUGGGUGAAACCCUGACCUAGCCAUCCCUCGAGUAUUAUGUAUGACUUCUGGAUGUAAAUUACUUUUGGCAGAGAAGAAAAGGUAUCCCCUAAUACGGGAUACUACUGACGGUAUCUGCAGAAUAAGCACCGGCUAACUACGUGCCAGCAGCCGCGGGAAUACGUAGGGUGCAAGCGUUAAUCGGAAUUACUGGGCGUAAAGCGUGUGUAGGCGGUUCGGAAAGAAAGAUGUGAAAUCCCAGGGCUCAACCUUGGAACUGCAUUUUUAACUGCCGAGCUAGAGUAUGUCAGAGGGGGGUAGAAUUCCACGUGUAGCAGUGAAAUGCGUAGAUAUGUGGAGGAAUACCGAUGGCGAAGGCAGCCCCCUGGGAUAAUACUGACGCUCAGACACGAAAGCGUGGGGAGCAAACAGG
rnacentral:rRNA from 1 species